GACGGAGGAUGCAAGUGUUAUCCGGAAUCAUUGGGCGUAAAGGGCGUGUAGACGGUUUUGUUAAGUCAUGUGUGAAAUCCCUCGGCUCAACCGGGGAACGACGCAUGAAACUGGCAGCUAGAGUACCAAAGAGGGGGUGGAAUCCCGGUGUAGCGGUGAAAUGCGUAGAUAUCGGGAGGAACACCUGUGGCGAAGGCGGCCCCCUGGUUGGA
rnacentral:rRNA from 1 species